rnacentral:rRNA from 1 species
AUUGAACGCUGGCGGCAUGCCUUACACAUGCAAGUCGGACGGUAACAGGUCUUCGGAUGCUGACGAGUGGCGAACGGGUGAGUAAUACAUCGGAACGUGCCUAGUAGUGGGGGAUAACUACUCGAAAGAGUGGCUAAUACCGCAUGAGAUCUACGGAUGAAAGCAGGGGAUCGCAAGACCUUGUGCUACUAGAGCGGCCGAUGGCAGAUUAGGUAGUUUGUGGGAUAAAAGCUUACCAAGACGACGAUCUGUAGCUGGUCUGAGAGGACGAUCGGCCACACUGGGACUGAGACACGGCCCAGACUCCUACGGGAGGCAGCAGUGGGGAAUUUUUGACAAUGGGCGAAAGCCUGAUCCAGCAAUGCCGCGUGCAGGAUGAAGGCCUUCGGGUUGUAAACUGCUUUUGUACGGAACGAAAAGCCCCGGGUUAAUACCCUGGGGUCAUGACGGUACCGUAAGAAUAAGCACCGGCUAACUACGUGCCAGCAGCCGCAGUAA